rnacentral:rRNA from 1 species
UGGGGAAUUUUGCGCAAUGGGCGAAAGCCUGACCCAGCAACGCCGCGUGAAGGAUGAAGUAUUUCGGUAUGUAAACUUCGAAAGAAUAGGAAGAAUAAAUGACGGUACUAUUUAUAAGGUCCGGCUAACUACGUGCCAGCAGCCGCGGUAAUACGUAGGGACCAAGCGUUGUUCGGAUUUACUGGGCGUAAAGGGCGCGUAGGCGGCAAUUCAAGUCACUUGUGAAAUCUCUGGGCUUAACCCAGAACGGCCAAGUGAUACUGUCGCGCUAGAGUGCAGAAGGGGCAAUCGGAAUUCUUGGUGUAGCGGUGAAAUGCGUAGAUAUCAAGAGGAACACCUGAGGUGAAGACGGGUUGCUGGGCUGACACUGACGCUGAGGCGCGAAAGCCAGGGGAGCAAACGGGAUUAGAUACCCAUGUAGUCCCUGAGCGGGCUGGCAAGGCGCAU